rnacentral:rRNA from 1 species
CCACCUUUGACAUGUACGGAAUUUUCCAGAGAUGGAUUAGUGCUCGAAAGAGAACCGUAACACAGGUGCUGCAUGGCUGUCGUCAGCUCGUGUCGUGAGAUGUUGGGUUAAGUCCCGCAACGAGCGCAACCCUUGUCAUUAGUUGCUACAUUUAGUUGGGCACUCUAAUGAGACUGCCGGUGACAAACCGGAGGAAGGUGGGGAUGACGUCAAGUCCUCAUGGCCCCUAUAGGUGGGGCUACACACGUCAUACAAUGGCCGGUACAAAGGGCUGCCAACCCGCGAGGGGGAGCUAAUCCCAUAAAACCGGUCGUAGUCCGGAUCGCAGUCUGCAACUCGACUGCGUGAAGUCGGAAUCGCUAGUAAUCGUGGAUCAGAAUGUCACGGUGAAUACGUUCCC